AUUGCUAGGGAGCGGCUGGUGGUUUUAGUUACAGACUUCUUUUGGAUCAAGCUGAAAAGACAAAGAGACUGAUGUUUCCUCAUCAGUUUGGUCAGUAGUGACCUUGUGCAAGCUCUUGGCUGUGGGAAAUUGGUGAAUGAUAGUUAACCCUGAAAUAUGAGAACUUGGCUCACAGAAUUGUGAAGGACAGAAAUAUUAAUGGCAGAAAGCUGAGGUCUAUGACGAGAACUCAGCCUCCAGAUGCACAGAUUACUGCACCUUCCCUUAUGUUACAGAGCAUCGUCUCAUGAGCCCCCUGGCUGGUUUAUCUUCCAAACACUGCCUGAAGGCUGCAACUAUUCACAUCAUCACAAAACCACCUGUAGCAGGAGACAAAAUUGUGGUGUUUGCGUUAAAAUUUUGUGAGAACUGGCAAUACGGAGAAUAUUUGUAGAAAAUGAAUACAGCAGGUACUCAAACGCAAUUAAAAACAAGUUUGUUAAAAAUUCCAAUGAACUUUUGUAGACAUUUCAGCUAGAGGUAGAAGAUUCCAUGCCCCCUUUACUAAAUCUUCUGAACCAUCUGAUCUUCUAACAGCUGUUAACAUACAUGUGUAUGAGCAGUACUAUACUAUAAAAAUAAAGUUUCUAUUGAAUUGC